rnacentral:rRNA from 1 species
AGUGAACGCUGGCGGCAGGCCUAAUACAUGCAAGUCGAACGGCAGCACAGCAGAGCUUGCUCUGUGGGUGGCGAGUGGCGGACGGGUGAGGAAUACGUGGGAAUCUGCCCAGUCGUGGGGGAUAACGUAGGGAAACUUACGCUAAUACCGCAUGCGCCCUUCGGGGGAAAGCCGGGGACCUUCGGGCCUGGCGCGAUUGGAUGAGCCCACGUCGGAUUAGCUAGUUGGCGGGGUAAAGGCCCACCAAGGCGACGAUCCGUAGCUGGUCUGCGAGGAUGAUCAGCCACACUGGAACUGGGACACGGUCCAGACUCCUACGGGAGGCAGCAGUAGGGAAGAUUGGACAAUGGGCGCAAGCCUGAUCCAGCCAUGCCGCGUGAGUGAAGAAGGCCCUCGGGUUGUAAAGCUCUUUUGUCCGGAAAGAAAAGCGCCGGGUUAAUACCCUGGUGUCCUGACGGUACCGGAAGAAUAAGCACCGGCUAACUUCGUGCCAGCCGCCGCCGUAACAC